CCGGACGUCGCGAGAGCGGCCCUGCAGGUCACGUGUUUCUGGAGCGCGGCGCCGAUUGGUGGAGCGCGCGCGUCGCGUAGAAGGGAACUCCGAUCGCUGCGCAACGGAGUGAGAGUAAGGGAGGUGGGGGCGCGCAGGCGCGAAUCUUGGCGCUGAUCUCAGGCGCAUGCGCGAAUCUUGGCGCUGAUCUCAGGCGCAUGCGCGGGGCCGAGGGCGGUGCUGCGGUGCGCGGGGUUCGGCUGUGAGUGGCGGGGCGGGAGGCUGCGCGCUGUGCUAUGCUGCGCUCCGCAGCGCUCCGCAGCGCUCCGCAGGUCGAUCAGCCUUUGUAACUGAAGCCUUCCUUGGUGAGAGUGUACAAAGUGCAGACAUCAAGCGGGCAGGAAGGCGCAAGGCUCCGCACAGCUCGUCUGCAAGGACGCCUUGCUCGCGAGCCUCUUUUAUCUUGGUAGCGACGUAGCAAAGGAAGAAAGUGUUUGUGGUAGCCUAAGCAGGAACAAAAGUCUGGAUUCCCCAUGCUGUGCUUCCUUGGGAGAGAGCUCAGCUCUUCGGUGUGGUUACAGACCCAAAGCUUCAGGGCUGCAGGAGGAUUUGCAGCUUGCCUUGGAGAAUAACUCUUGAAUUGACAGAGGAAAUGGUUGUAUUCAGCAGUGGGCAAAGUGCUGUCAGAAAUUCAAACACUGCCUCUGGAGAAAACCUGAAAUUAUUUCUGCAGAGGUUCCCAGAUCUCUGCUACCACCCUUAGCAUGCCAUGCUAGUGGAAGGUGUCCCUGCCAAGAUGGAGUUCCAGCUGGAUCAGUUUUGGAAGACUACUUCAAAGCUUCAGUGUCCUGCCAUGAGUCUGCCUGCCAUGCCGACAUCUUGCUUGUUUGUUCUUCUGCCUCUACCACUCAACAGCAUUCCUCUUUUCAGCCACGGUUUGUUACAAGAUAGAUGCUAUGUAGGAGGGGCUCUGGGUCUUCUCCAAGAAGACAGGUUAUUACAGAUGGAUUUUUUACCUAACCUGAGCGAGCCACUGUACUGACAGUGACUGGAGAAAAAGAUAAAAAAGAAAAUAUCCCUGGAAAGAGCUGUACUAUGUUCAUCGGAUAUUGCUGUGUGUGUCUUUGCUUCUCAUCUGCUAGUUGGAAAGGAGUACCAAACAAAAGCCUUUUUGUCAUGAAAAUCACCCACCAACCUCUGCCAACUGUCAGUCAGAGGAACAAUAAGUGUGAGAGCCAAACAUGCCACCCACCAAAAACGUGUAUGUGAGCUUGGGUUAAAGGACAAAGAAAGAAAUUUGCGCUCGCAAUAGUCCAACACAACAGCAUGGAAACAGCUCUGCCAGCAGAGCUCCUUUCACCCACCCAGGGAGGCGAUUGGACCAUCUGGAUUUCUCUGGAUUCGAGUUUUCAGAGGCACAGUUCCCAUCAACACCACAAAACGGAAAUCAUUUGUUCCCAGAUCUGAUUGCAGCACAAGUCGUAACUGAGUCCUUGACUGUUACGGUCUAGGUUGGGCCAUAGGCUAAUUUGGGAUGAACCAAGAAUACAGAUGGGAACAAAUAAGAGAGAGGAAUGUCAUAGCUUGAAACUAAAUUCAGCUACAGCUCAUAAAUGAGAAAUGGAAAUCAAAAUCCCCAGGCAGGCACAAAGGGUUUUGUGAGGCUGUUCUUGUUCACAUGAUGCAAUCUCAAGGUUCGAUGCCACCAGAAGGAAUGACUUUUCACCACUUCCUUUCUCCUUCCUGGUGCCAGCUGAUACGUUUGGGUAUUGAAAAGUCCCUGAUGACGCUGCACCUUACUCACAUGUCAGUGUGACAGCUCCAAACAUGGGAGCUGACGCCAUGGCAAGUGCACUGGGUGCCAAAGGUGCAGUUGAAGGGACCAAGAAAACAUCUAUAUCCAGUAUAUCCUGGAAUAGUAUAAUUUGAUACUGAUAGUGUAGCUAUUGGAGAUGGAUUUCAGGCUAUUCAAAUCAGUCAUCUGCUCAAUAAGCCCAAAAUUACAGUGCCAUAUGCUUGGUUUGCCUGAACGGAUCAGUGAAGGGAGUUACCAUCUUCAAAUACAGUGACAAUUACACCACCAAAGCAGUUUUAACAGGGAAGAACAUCAACAGUGGCAGCUCAAGUGGGAUUUCAGCACUGGAACAGUGGACAUUUUGAAGUUAAUAAUAAUAAUAAUUCACAGUAGAAGAGCCUCCUUUUUCCCUCUGGGUAAAUAUGCAAGCCAUAAAUAAUACUGCAGGUAUGAUGCAAUGCUGGGGUAUUUUUGUCUCUGGCAUACACUGAGAUCAGAUUUCCUGCUAUCCAGUAAUUUCCAAAUACUUUGGCAUGUCAAGUCACAGGCACUCCCACAAGGUGCUCGCCUGACCGAUAUAUACCUGGUACAUUGUUCUAAGUGGGGGAAAUGUGAGGAGGGGAGUGUGGUACCAGUGUGAUUACACUGAUCAGGGAUGUGGGUUCCUCUGGUUGUGUUUUUAACCGAGAGGGCUGUAAUAUUGUAAAGCUUCCUGCAAUUCUGCUGCUGUUUUGUGCAACGCAAUAUUUAUUCCCAUUCCACUCUGCAAACUGUGCCUCUGUGCUCGGUAUGGGUGGGACUCCCCAAGCUGUAUGGAGUGUGCUGAGUAUGUUUUCAGAUUCUUAGCCAUCAUAGCAUUUGGUCAUACUUUUGCCAUAUGUAGCCAAGGAAGAAUCAGUGACAAAGUCACUUUCUCAUAGAUUCCCUUUAGAGGCCAUGCAUGCCAGCUGCAGCUUUAACUGCAUCGUCUUUGUCUUUCUUCCAGUUACCCAAAGUUAUCAGCUAUAUUCAGAUCCUCUUCUGUUUUCAAAAAAAAAAAACAUAAAAAAAUUGACCACAUCAAUUCUGUGAGGCUGAGCUGGCUAUUACCUAAAGAUAUUAUAUAAGAGCUGUACAGUUACUGACGAAACCAGCAGAGCCCAUAGCAAGCUACAGAGCUGUAUUUCCUCCCUCUCUCCCUCUGCAUCUCCUCUGUCGCUGAAGAAAUUUCUCAAUUUUCCCUGAUGACAGAGCAAUAAUGUACUGCUCUUUACAAAGCCAAAAAGCUGCUCAUGUUCGGCUGUAGCACAAAAAGCUGCAAGCCAGGCUUUCAAGAGAUAAUAAUGCUUUAGUGCAGCUACAUACAAGACAAAAACUGUUUGAAGGAAGCAAGAUGCCAGAAUUAGAAAUUCAGUGCUAGAAAACAGCAUGCAUUUCCUGUCCCUAUGAUGUUAUUAUAUUGAAAGGGCUGCUGCCAGGCCAAUACUUCUGUAUCCUUCUUGCUAAAUAGAGAGGAUCUACCCAAAUGUCCGCCUUUCUCUGUUUGCUCGCCUGUCUGCUUAGUAACUUUCAAAUAAUUGGCCCUAACAGAAUUGCUCUGACGUAAUUGUAAAUAAGUGCCCUCCUGAAUGAACCUCUACCUGAUUCAUGGUGUGACACUGAAUCCCUUACUAAUUUGCUGUGUCACUACCUCAAGUGGUGUGCUAGGGGCUGGUAACUAAAUGGGUGGUUAGGAGAGAUCUCCUGGCUCACUUGGAGUUGUGGACCUGAUGGAAACAAACUUUAAUGUCAGAAUCAAGGCUAGAGCUCUAUUCUUUCUCCUCCAGUGGCAUGGAUUUAGAUCACUCACAGAAGCAAUUCCAUCAAUGCUCUCGUUACCCCUGCUUGUAACAUAGAGGUGAUCCACAAUUGCUCAGACUUCUGACAUGCUGGAAAUGCUGUGUCCUGUCAGUGGUUUCCUCACCAAGUUCUGCCCUGGAGAUAGGCUGGAGAUGACGCUCUGUGUUUCUGAUUUUCCAGUGUUCAGGAAAGCACAGGUUCCAAAUUGCCCUAAAAUUCUUUUCAAAUAAAAAUGAGAACCAUUUACAAAUCAAAAGGCCAAAUUCUUAAAUGUGCAAUUGGUUAUAACUUGAAUAGGCAGUGUCACUCAUUUGUUUUCUGCCAGCCCAGCAAGUAGAAUCAUAGAAUAAUUAAGAAGAAAAGGCCUCCAUGAUCAUCAUAGUCCAACCACCAACCCACCAUCACCAUGCCAUUAAACCACAUCUCUCAAAAUCGUCUGGGUGGACAUGGGUACAAGUUGAACUGUUACCUUGUCUCUCUGGAGAGAGGGCUGGCGAAAGCAGCCUCAUCCACAUCCCACAGUUAGGAAACUGUGGCCCUGGGGACAAGCACAGCUGGCCAUGCCGAGUCACUCUCCCAUGACUUGGCCGUGCCUACUGAUAUGUGAAACGUGCAAACGGCCCCCGCAGAGCUCCUUGGGAGCAGCAUUUCCACACUGCAAGAAACCGUCUGCGCCCCUUGCACUGACUGGCAUCUGUACUAACAGUCUGAGAGGAAAUGCCUGAGUGGCUCAUGUCUAAGCUAUGUCUCUGCUAGGUGAGACCAUCCAGACAGAGCUGAAUCAUUUGCUGAAAGGAAAGCCCUAUGUUCAGCCCUAUGAGUAGAGAGCAUCAGGGCUCAGUUCUCUGAAGCGAGUGCUGAAAUGAUUUCAGAAAGCAGAAAGAAGCAGCUGUUUUGUUUACUUUGCAGCUUUCCCUUCUAAAGAGGAUGACGUUCAUUUGGGAAGCAAAACUAUGAACUUUUGUCUUGGUUUGACAUGCAGGAUUAGGGUACAAUGUUUUGCAUCUGAUUUCUGGUGACCAGUGAACUAAGAUGGGCCAUUUCUUUUCAAAAAUGAACUAAGCUGGGCCAUUUCUUUUCAGAAGUGCAGAACAUCCAUGAUUAACUGACAUCAUUUAGACUAGUGCAAAAUGGUGCAACUCCCACAUUCUCUAAAAUUUGGUGUUUCCAGAUCUGUAGACUCAGAAACCAAUAUCUGGUGCUUCACAUCGGCUCAGAUCUACAGAACUGCCCACACUGAUUUUCACUAUGGAAAGGAUAAAUCUGACAUCACUGAGCUUCUUCCACUAACAUUUGGUGGCCUUUACUCAUGUGAGAGUUGUGUACUGUAUUAUGUUCUUCUUAUACACCUCCCCCCCACACACUCACACACACUUAUUUGUAUAUAUACAGGUAUAUACAAUCCCCAAAGAUUUUUUGUCUCAGCCACUUUUUAAAGUAAACUGCUCUACCUUGGAUGUGUUCCAUAUCGAAGCUGGGAAGCCUUAGUACACACAAAGCAGGCUGGAUUGCAGGUGAUGAAGCAAACACCUAUUUUACCUGCUUUUAUUUUUUGAUUUGACAGAGUGAACUUUCAGCACCUAGACCUGUGACUUUACAGGUGGCACUAUUAUGUUGCUACUGCAGUUCAGUUUGUUUCCUCUCUGUAAUCUCUAAUGUUUCUCAUGAAAGUUCAUCUCUGAGGUAAGUGUACUCAGUGGGGACACUUGUGUAUAUACCCCUUGCCACCUGUUAAGAACUUAAUGAUUUCUCCUCUGCCGGGAGUGUGGAUUCAUGCUUUAGAUCUGCACUGUUUCGAAAGAAGCAGUCCUGUCCUCCCCAAGCACCAGGCUGCAUCUUCCUGCCAUCUCCCUUCUCAGUGCUGGCACUUGGGCUGGAAAGGAUUCGCCUGCUGCCUGCCUGAAGACAUUUUACUUUCAGGGCUGUUUUUCAACUGGAUCAGCAGGCAGGUCUGGCACUGCACCAAACCCCAUGAUGACUGGUACCCAUACAAGAGAGCUGAUGGCAAUAUAUGGCAGGAAGGAAGCAGACUCAGAUUGGUUUAAACUGACCAUUAAAUCCUUUAAUGAAA